GUCAGAAAGGUCUUUGUGCCCAUCUCCUGGCCCUGCCCAGGACAGCUCUAAUAAUCCUGCCAUGUGCUGAGAGGUUUAUCUUUAUUCAGCCUGUCAGUCUUGGGCUGUGACACCUUCCCUGAGGAGCAGAACUCUCAGAUUUGCAAAUACAGACCAUGACCUCUCCAAAGGAAUGUUGUUUUGCUGACAUUUAAGCCCUAUGGUUUGCCAUGAGAGGAUUCACCUGACUGAGCAUAGACCUCUGUGUUGUAAAUGUUUAUGUUUGAGCUAGUCACCUUAGCUAAUUACAGAUGAAGGACAGAAAGAAGAGGACGUACCAAGUAUGUGGUCCCUGGAGCUCCUGGUGCAUCACGUAAGAGAGUCGGCUGGAGGGUAACCUGAUAAGCCAUCCUGCAUAUCCCUUGUAAUUGGGAUGUAAGAUAAUAAAAG